rnacentral:rRNA from 1 species
AGUGAACGCUGGCGGUAGGCCUAACACAUGCAAGUCGAACGGCAGCACAGUAAGAGCUUGCUCUUACGGGUGGCGAGUGGCGGACGGGUGAGGAAUACAUCGGAAUCUACUUUUUCGUGGGGGAUAACGUAGGGAAACUUACGCUAAUACAGCAUACGACCUACGGGUGAAAGCAGGGGAUCUUCGGACCUUGCGCGAUUGAAUGAGCCGAUGUCGGAUUAGCUAGUUGGCGGGGUAAAGGCCCACCAAGGCGACGAUCCGUAGCUGGUCUGAGAGGAUGAUCAGCCACACUGGAACUGAGACACGGUCCAGACUCCUACGGGAGGCAGCAGUGGGGAAUAUUGGACAAUGGGCGCAAGCCUGAUCCAGCCAUACCGCGUGGGUGAAGAAGGCCUUCGGGUUGUAAAGCCCUUUUGUUGGGAAAGAGAAGCAGCAGGUUAAUACCCCGCUGUUCUGACGGUACCCAAAGAAUAAGCACCGGCUAACUUCGUG